rnacentral:misc_RNA from 1 species
GUAUAGUAGUGCGUGUGCACAACAGUAAUUUCAUUACAUUCGAGUGUGUGUAUAAAAAUCCUCUGCCGGCCAAAGCUAGCAAGAGGCCAAAGGUUCACAUGGGUAUUGGAUGAAAGCCACCAACGUGCACAUGCUCAUAAGAGCCAGCACUGAAGGCAGCCAUUCGCAAUCAUUAAUGAUCCUUCCGCAGGUUCACCUACGGAAA